UCAAACUUGGUCAUUUAGAGGAAGUACAAGUCGUAACAAGGUUUCCGUAGGUGAACCUGCGGAAGGAUCAUUACCAAAUUGUGAUUCUCUCAUGAUACCCUGUUGAAAUGUGAGCGGCGCUCGCGCCAGCAAGCACGAUGAGGAAUGGAAUGAUUGUGGGGGGGGCGCCUGGGGAGGUGCGCCCACUCCAGACACAAUGGACAACACUAUUAUUUAUAUAAAUACGAUAAUAUACCAAAACUUUUAACAAUGGAUCUCUUGGCUCUUGCAUCGAUGAAGAACGCAGC
rnacentral:misc_RNA from 1 species